rnacentral:tRNA from 7 species
AAAAUCCGUCGACUUUUUAAAU